CAUGAUGACUAACCAGCUCUCUCCUAAAUCUUGUACAGAAAUCAGCAAUCUGUUAAGAGGUUGCCUGGCCGAGAAUCCAAGUGAUCGUCCGACGCUCAAGAAGAUCUUAGAUCAUGACUGGUUUAAAACUAAGUCUGACGAAGAAGAGCUACUCGUAUACAAAAUGAGGGCACUAUCCACACAAAAAUAAAAAGGAUGAAGCUGAAUGACUGAAGGAGAGGGGAAUGAUUGGAGAUGCUGUUUUCAUCAUUCUGAGACAAAUGGAGUUUGCUAAUCAUGUUUAUGGAUAAAUAAGUUUCUACAACCAGAAAGCGAGAAUAGCACCGACAUUAAAAGGGCCACAAUUUCUCAGGAGUUUCUGCAUUAUGUUUUAUUUCAGCCUCAGACUUCAUGAUCACAGACCGCUGGCUGAACGUCUGAUGCAGAUCCUGUCUCAUCCUUGAACACAUUAAAAAAAAUGUUUAAAUUCUUAAUGUUUUUAUUUUAAUGUGUAGUUUCUAAUAUAUAGUUUAUCCUCUAUAGAAUCAGCUAUGUCUGGCUCUCUCUCUCUAGGGUUGUUUUUCUCCUAGGAGUUUAGGGAGUCAGGUUUAUUAAUGUAAAGCUGCUUUGAAAUAAUUAAACAAUUGUGAAAAGUGCUACAGUAUAUAAAUAAAAUUGAACUGAUAUGGAAGACUUUUCUUAUCUUUUUUAUUUGAUCAAACU